rnacentral:rRNA from 1 species
AAUCGCGGAUCAGAAUGCCGCGGUGAAUACGUUCCCGGGUCUUGUACACGCCGCCCGUCACACCAUGGGAGUCGGGAAUGCCCGAAGUCAGUGACCCAACCGAAAGGGGGGAGCUGCCGAAGGCAGGCCUGGUAACUGGGGUGAAGUCGUAACAAGGUAGC